GGUUACAACAGAACAGUGAAGAAUACGUCAUCUGCUGUGGGCGUAAAGUGUCACAAGGAAAUACUCUUAGUUCUCUGUUUGCUAUAUAAAGUUUUGAAGUUGAUUUUUGUGGAUUACUGCACACACUGACUGCCAGCCACCUGUUGAAUCAACUGUUAAUAGGAAACAUUUGUCUCCUGAGCUGAAUAUACUACAGUUAUUUUCUCUUAUUUCUCCAAUCUUCCCAGCUCCCAUUUAAAAACAUGGGCAACGAGACUUCACGUUCAAAUACCCAUGUGGCCAAUGCAACCGGGAAGAAUCUUCGGAUUUUCUAUGAAGUGGAUACAAUGAGGCUGGAAGAAAUGGUGAUAAAUGUGGGGGGAGGGAUAGAAGGUACUAAAAAAUCAGUAUCAGGGAAUAUUUACACCGACGUGAAGAUGGUUUUUAAACCAGACACCCGGAUCCGUUUCAUUCACCUGCCGGCGAAAGAGACAUGUAACAUUUCCGGGGAAGGCACCAUCUAUGUCUCUGUCCUUGUGGAAUGUAUAAACAACAAAAAUAACUGCACUAAUGUCAUCUGCGAAAAUUUCCAUAUCCCCAGCGACCGGUCUUUCAUCCUGACCGCCAAUCAAUCCAUCAAAUUGCAGAAGUAUGGUGAAAGCAUUUGGGUUGACGAAGACGGCAAUAGACAUCACCCUUAACUUUCCUCUUCAACCUUCUUUUAAAUGUGGAGUGCUAAUUUUAAUAAGCAGAUAAGAUGGUUAAUUGGAAUAUUAAUAGUUUAGAUCAGUGGUUCUCAGUCUUUUUGACUCCAGUUAAGUAGGACAAGUAGUGUUGUAAACACUUUAUUUCAUCAUUGUUAGAAACAUAUGGUGAAUAUUUAGAAACAUAUUGUUUGCAAAAACUCUGGAAAAUAAAUUUGUGAAACGUAAACUUAAAACUACCACAUUUCUGAUGCUAAACAUUUCUGGGACGCAUCAUUAUUAAGAAAUAAACACAUUUUUACAAUCAGGUUAUUGGUUAAUGGAGUGAUGAGUUGUAAAAUGACAGAGCUUAAUCAUAUGGAAACCUCACCACAAUGUGUAUCAUCAAUAAAAACAUUAAUUUCACUAUAGUGCUUUACAAAUUUGCAUUGUGAUAAAUGCAGAAUAGAUCAUUUAAAAACAUAUUGAGCUUAUUGCCAGUAUGAGUAUUAAAUGAUUAACAAGUAUUAGAUGAUUAACAAAAUCAUACUGUUUUCCUCCAAAAGACAUUGUCUUUUAAACACAUCAACAAAUUCUAAAUGUUCCAUAGCUUGACAUAAAACUGGCUAUCUGAAAUAAACUUGACAUUUUGCAAGCAAA